CCUACGGGUGGCUGCAGUGAGGAAUAUUGGUCAAUGGGCGCGAGCCUGAACCAGCCAAGUAGCGUGAAGGAUGACUGCCCUCCGGGUUGUAAACUUCUUUUAUAAAGGAAUAAAGUGAGUCACGAGUGACUUUUUGUAUGUACUUUAUGAAUAAGGAUAGGCUAACCCCGUGCCAGCAGCGGCGGUAAUACCGGGGAUGCAAGCGUUAUCCGGAUGUGUUGGGUUUAAAGGGUGAGGAGGCUGGGAGGUAAGUCAGCGGUGAAAUGCCCCCGCUCAACGGGGUGAAGUGCCAGUGAUACUGGCUUGCUGGAAUGCGGAUGAGGUGGGAGGAAUGGGUGGUGUAGCGGUGAAAUGCAUAGAUAUCACACAGAAUACCGAGUGCGAAGGCAUCUCACGAAUCCGCGAUUGACGCUGAUGCACGAAAGCGUGGGUAUCAAACAGGAUUAGAUACCCGGGUAGUC
rnacentral:rRNA from 1 species